rfam:Triticum aestivum genome assembly, contig: Triticum_aestivum_CS42_TGACv1_scaffold_405834_5BL
AUAAUACUUCCUCCGUCCGAAAAUACUUGUCAUCAAAAUAGAUAGAAAGAGAUGUAUCUAAAACUAAAAUACGUCUAGGUCUAUCCCUUUUAUCCAUUUUGAUGACAAGUAUUUCCGGACGGAGGGAGUACUAA